AUUGAACGCUGGCGGCAUGCCUUACACAUGCAAGUCGAACGGCAGCACGGGUGCUUGCCCCUGGUGGCGAGUGGCGAACGGGUGAGUAAUACAUCGGAACAUGUCCUGUAGUGGGGGAUAGCCCGGCGAAAGCCGGAUUAAUACCGCAUACGAUCUACGGAUGAAAGCGGGGGACCUUCGGGCCUCGCGCUAUAGGGUUGGCCGAUGGCUGAUUAGCUAGUUGGUGGGGUAAAGGCCUACCAAGGCGACGAUCAGUAGCUGGUCUGAGAGGACGACCAGCCACACUGGGACUGAGACACGGACCAGACUCCUACGGGAGGCAGCAGUGGGGAAUUUUGGACAAUGGGCGAAAGCCUGAUCCAGCAAUGCCGCGUGUGUGAAGAAGGCCUUCGGGUUGUAAAGCACUUUUGUCCGGAAAGAAAUCCUUGGCCCUAAUACGGUCGGGGGAUGACGGUACCGGAAGAAUAAGCACCGGCUAACUACGUG
rnacentral:rRNA from 1 species